AGGACGAACGCUGGCGGCGUGCUUAACACAUGCAAGUCGAACGGGCUCGUGGCACUUGUGUUGCGGGUUAGUGGCGAACGGGUGAGUAACACGUGAGUAACCUGCCCCAGACUCUGGGAUAACUCUGGGAAACCGGUGCUAAUACUGGAUAUGACAUCAAGCCGCAUGGUUAUGGUGUGGAAAGUUUUUCGGUCUGGGAUGGGCUCGCGGCCUAUCAGCUUGUUGGUGAGGUAGUGGCUCACCAAGGCGACGACGGGUAGCCGGCCUGAGAGGGCGAUCGGCCACACUGGGACUGAGACACGGCCCAGACUCCUACGGGAGGCAGCAGUGGGGAAUAUUGCACAAUGGGCGCAAGCCUGAUGCAGCGACGCCGCGUGAGGGAUGACGGCCUUCGGGUUGUAACCUCUUUCAGCAGGGAGAAGCCGUUUCGGGUGACGGUACCUGCAGAGAAGCACCGGCUAACUACGUGCCAGCAGCCGCGGUAAU
rnacentral:rRNA from 1 species